UGAGCCGUGGCUUUCGGAGCUAACGCGUUAAGUAGACCGCCUGGGGAGUACGGUCGCAAGAUUAAAACUCAAAUGAAUUGACGGGGGCCCGCACAAGCGGUGGAGCAUGUGGUUUAAUUCGAUGCAACGCGAAGAACCUUACCUACUCUUGACAUCCAGAGAACUUUCCAGAGAUGGAUUGGUGCCUUCGGGAACUCUGAGACAGGUGCUGCAUGGCUGUCGUCAGCUCGUGUCGUGAGAUGUUGGU
rnacentral:rRNA from 1 species